CAGUAAAUCUGUAGCUUAUAGUAGUUUCCAGGUCCCCUGAGAGAAGUGACUUAUACAGCUUCUAUGUUUCAGAUGGAGGACUUGAACUAUGCUUCUUCUUGAAAGGACAAUACGUACAAUGAAUCUGAAAUAAAGUUGAAAAUCAGGACCAGAAUAGAAGAGCAGUUGGAGGAUCUAAAGGAUGACAAUGAGGUAUGCAUUUGUCACUUCUCAAAAUCUUCAUUUAUAACACAUA
rnacentral:lncRNA from 1 species